GCGCGUUUAGCUCAGCGGGAGAGCGCUUCCCUGACACGGAAGAGGUCACUGGUUCAAUCCCAGUAUCGCGCA
rfam:Corynebacterium genitalium ATCC 33030 chromosome, whole genome shotgun sequence.